rnacentral:rRNA from 1 species
UACACGCUGUGACUAGCAUAUCAAUAAGCGGAGGAAAAGAAACUAACAAGGAUUCCCUCAGUAACGGCGAGUGAAGCGGGAAGAGCUCAAAUUUGAAAUCUUGAAAGGUCACCUUUCACGAAUUGUAGUUUAAAGAAGUGUUUUCUGUUACGAUCGUAAUAUAAGUUCUUUGGAAUAGGACAUCACUGAGGGUGAGAAUCCCGUCUAUGAUUGCGAUUUGUAGCUUUGUGAUACACUUUCAAAGAGUCGGGUUGUUUGGGAAUGCAGCCCAAAAUGGGUGGUAAAUUUCAUCUAAGGCUAAAUAUUGGCGAGAGACCGAUAGCGAACAAGUACCGUGAGGGAAAGAUGAAAAGAACUUUGAAAAGAGAGUUAAACUAGUACGUGAAAUUGUCAAAAGGGAAGCGUUUAACACCAGUGUUGUUUUCUGAAAAUCAACCUCUGUUAGCUUUAUGCAUGUUUGUUUAGACCUAAUCAGCUAUCUUGCAUGUUCUAUUGUUUGCAGUGGUGCACUUUUCAGUUUACAGGUCAACAUCAGUUUUUUUUACCGUAAAAAAGUUAAAGAAAGGUAGCUCAUGGCUCCGGUCGUGAGUGUUAUAGUCUUUUUCCUAUGCGGUAGGAGAGACUGAGGUCUGCAGUGUAGGCUAUUUGGCUAGAUACUCAGGUGCUAUGUGAUACCAUUUCAUAAACAACUUGUUGAUUAUGUUUUGUCUAUUGCAUACUCGCUUGUACUAUCAUACCUACGCUUAGGAUGUUGAGUAGCGACAUACGCAC